AGUGGCUAGAAAGCCAGGAUGUGGAUAGACUGCAAAUACUGCAGUUAAAAUCCAUAAUUGGCCUGGUGAAGAAGAAGGCUCGCAGUAGCAUGAAGCAACAAAGUAUAACAAGUUUUUUAAAAAUGAAAAAAAUGUUAAGGGGUGCAUCUUAAAUAAGAAAGCAUCUUGUACACCAAAAAAAGGUAUUUACUAUUUUAUCAAUGUCUCUAAACUUGAUUACUUUACCUUUUUUUAGCUUCAUUUUAACCUUUUCUAUAAGUAAAAACUCCCAUCUCCAAAAUGUUUUCAAACGAUUUAAUAGUUAACAGUUCAUAUUACUUAACAACCUACGUAUAACAUAGUUGGCUAAGUGACAAAGGGGCCCAUGCUCCUAUUUGCUAAGAACUGAUCCCUGUGGGACCCCACUGGAGACAGACCCACUCAGUGAGAAUUCCCUGUUUACGGUUAUAUUUUGAGACCUAUCAGUUAACAGUUUUUAAUCUAUUUAAUGAGUGCCAUGUUAAUUUUAUUCUAGUUUUUUAAUCAAUAUUUGCAGCACCAAGUCCAAUACCUUACAGAAGUCAGUUAUAUCAACACCAUUACUUUUAUGAACCAAAUGUAUAAUGUCAUAAAAAAAAUCAGUUAGUUUUACAGGUUCUAUUUUCCAUAAACCCAUGUUGAUUUGUCUUAAUUACAUUCUCCUCCUUUAGUUCAUUAUUAAUUUAGCACUUAUCAGUAGCUCUUCUAUCUUGCCUGGGAUUGAAGUCAUGCUGACAGGCCUAUAAUUACCCAGGUCAUCCCAUUUACCCUUGGCUUUCUUUCAGUCUUCCCCAGUGUUCCAGAACAUGGAGUCCACUCACAUUAUUAUACGAGAAACACAGCUCAGGGGAACAUGGUAGCAGCGGUCAGUCGUGUGACUUACAGCAAGAAAGUGUGUUUAACCAGAAAACAAAGCAGCAGCUGAAACAGAGUAAACACACAGCAUGGAGGGACUUGGACAACUGGAAAAGCCUAAUUUCCAGACAAACCUUUCACAAGCACAGAAGCAAGAACUGACUCUGUAUACAGAGCUGACUGUAAAAAGGCUGAUGAUAUCCUGAACAAACCUGAAGGAAUGAAGAUAAACUUUAUUGAAUUAGGGAUAAUACCUUUGGGGUACACUGUAUUAAAAAUGCAGUUGGAUAUUGUAUAUACCUUCCCUACUAGGGAAGGGGGAUGCUAAUGUAUUUUCUCUAUAUCCGCUUCUGAAGCCACCCCCUGGAGAUAUGUAUAUACUAAUUCAAACUGGAUUUUCCAGAGACCAACAGACAAAGAAAAGACUCUUGGAUAAAAGCCUGGGUUCUAAGCUGACUUAGGGUCUUCUUCCUGAUCUAGCAAACUGACUGGACCCCUGGUCCAUGGAGACCGCCACUCCUUAGGGGAGGGUUGAAAGGACGUCACCUAGGGAGGCCUCAGAAGACUGCUUGUUCUGAGCCGAAGCUCUGAUGAACUCGUAACCUCAAGUGGGGUGAUUCCUGGUGAGCUUAUUAGCAUAGGUGCAGGUUCUUUUAUUAUUUUAAUGUUUCUCUGUAAUACCUUUUACCUGAAGAAGAAAGCAGGCUUGCUUAGAAAGAACUGUGAGGUACAUAUCUGUAGAAACUACUCUUACCAGGCUCUGAGGAGAAAGCAAGCAGGUUUGUUUCGACAGACUCUUUGCUGGGAAAUACACAGCCAAGGCAGGGACCUGUGCAGGCUGGGAAUACCUUGGUCAGAAGAGAGAGAGGUGCGUGUCUCCACCUAGAAAGGCAACAGCUGGGGACCUGAGCGUGGGUAGCCUUGCUGAACCACUGAGGGGAAAUACAGGAGCAGUUGCCCUGAACUUUGACACUGACCAUGGGGCAUAAAGAUGAGAAAAUGAAGGUAAAACUUUUUUUUACUGUCACUGGGAAAACACUGCCAUGCAGUGUGGCCAACUCUUGUGAUUCCUUUUAUCAUGUGUCUUGUGGUACUCAGUGUGUUUUCUUGAAGUCCCAGCUCUUGGAGUCAUAUGAAUACAACAAUUUCAGCUUUCAUUUUUUUUUUUAAAUGGAAUCUAAGUUUCUAGCCCUCCUGGUUGCAAAUAUGCUUGAAAACUUGAACACUAAAACUUCAAAAGCCAGAAGGCAAAUAAAGAUUUUCAAAUACAUUUUUAAUAUCACAUUUUUCUGCCUGUGAUGGGGGUGUAUAAACCCCAUACUGGGACAGGUGUGAUUAAGGGCACAGGUGACUCUGCUCUACCAAACUUGCAGAGCCCGCUCCACCUGGCGGAGGAGCUUAUAAAAGGGAGCCAGACUGCUCAGGUAUGGGAGUGGAGAAGACAGAACUGUGUUGGACUAUAUAGCUCUCCAACACUUUGAUGAGAUGUUGCCACCCUUAAAAUGGCACGGAAGGCUACGAAGGACAAAAGCAGCUGUACAGAAGGUUGACGUUGGUUCCAACAGCUGCAAAUAAGCAACACCCUUUCCAUAAAAAGGAUGUGCCUGCCUCUGGAAGAACAAAGAACAAAGAACAAAGAACAAAUUCCUGCUCAUUUGCCACAAUUGUCUUCAUGACAUCCUUCUUGUAGCAGUGUUCAUGUACUCAUGUCCAGCACUGGGUGGCAGUACUAACUCAGAUAUACAGCAUGUCAGGGCCAUCAUCUAUGUCUUUGCCAUUUUUCGUAACGUUUCAGGAUUGCCAGAGCACACAGUGUCCCAUUGUAGAUGCCCUACUUUCCCUUACAGUUUUUGUAUCUGAACUUUUUCCUUGUUUUACACUGAAAAGCAAUUUGUAGUAAUAUCCAUCCAUCUCAUUUUCCAGUGGAAGCUUCAUAGUUCGGAAAGGGAGAAUGACAUGGGGUCCUAUAAACUACAGGCUUCUAUCUCUUUCACUACAGUCUGGGGUUGGAGUUUAUAGUUUAGCUGAAGUUAUCACAGAUACACCUAGAUACACCAUUUUCUAGUGGUCUGUAUAGUUCAUCUAGGGUUUUUUUCCCCUCUGACAUGAUUUUUCCUGUUCUUAACCUUGUUUGUUUACAUUUUUACCAAUCACAUAAAGGGGAAGAAAUAUAAAUAUCACCAGUAAUCUGCUAAAGUUGAAAUCUUUUCUCCACACUCUCAUUUGCCCUGGUAUUGAUAGGUUGGUGUGUAGCAGAGUUUUAUGAAGAGCGGUUUGUUUGCAAGAGUUCAGUUGACCUCUUUCAUGGGCUUCCAUUUGUGGCUUUGUAUCUCUGAAGUUUCAGGUUUGAAUGAACACAGCAAGUUUCACCUGGUUCCACUGCAAACAAUCAGUGUCUCAUUCCCUCUAGUGCAGGUCCACAAGGAGGAUGACCUACUAUUGCUGGCAGAGGCUUGUGGAUAUAAAGGUUCCAACCCUGCUGUUGAGGGGGCUGAAUCCUAAACCUGGUAUGGAGACAGUAGUGUGGCGAGAGACAGAAUGCAGCAGCAGCGAGGUUUCCUACUACACACAAGAAUCACUAAAAGCUGGGGCACAGACCCCUCAGAACACAUCACAUCAACAGGCAGAGGUGAUCAGUGGUGAUCAGCAGCAAGCGGCAGCAGUGGCAUUGCUCGACACAUAUCCACUCCAGAAGUGGGAAGUGAACUCACACGAAUGCACCCCCAAAUUCUGGCUUUGUUGACCUAACAACAAACCGAGGGCAAUCCAGUGGAGGGAAAGGGGAGGGGCACGUCUGAACUUUCAUACCAAGAGCUGGGAAACUGAGGACACCGCUCAAGAUAUUGUGGGGGGUGUACCUGUUGGACAAUCAGGGGAGCUACUUCAUUCAUGUGGAUCCCAAAACAGAAUUCAACAUAUAUAUUUUAUACUAACACACUCUAUAUAUUGUUUAAUGGAAAACACCUGUGUACUAAUUACCAUGGGCGGAAACAUUAUGUAACCUUUUGACCAUUGGCUACUGUGCUUAUCUUGUCUUGCUGCUAGAUCUAUCAAGGGGUUUAGGACUGCCUACCCUGUCAUUUCUCUCCGCCCAUGGAAAAGCCAUAUAAUCCAUUGUAAUCAAUUGUUUGGCAGUGUCUCUGAGCCUAAUAAGCGAGGUGACGCUCCGUCAGCGCUGUGCAUAAUAAACCCACGUGCUUGAUUCUACAUGGUGUCCAUAUUUGUUCCUUCACUAAUGUCCAACCUAAACCUCCCUUGCUGCAAUUUAAGCCCAUUGCUUCUUGUCCUAUCCUCAAAGGUUAAGAAAAACAAUUUUUCU